CAGCAGCCGCGGGAACACGUAGGGUGCGAGCGUUAAUCGGAAUUACUGGGCGUAAAGCGUGCGCAGGCGGUUCGUUAAGACAGAUGUGAAAUCCCCGGGCUCAACCUGGGACCUGCAUUUGUGACUGUAUAGCUAGAGUACGGUAGAGGGGGAUGGAAUUCCGCGUGUAGCAGUGAAAUGCGUAGAUAUGCGGAGGAACACCGAUGGCGAAGGCAAUCCCCUGGACCUGUACCGACGCUCAUGCACGAAAGCGUGGGGAGCAAACAGGAUUAGAUACCCCGGUAGUCCCUGUCUCUUAUAC
rnacentral:rRNA from 1 species